ACCUGUUCUGUAGGCGUGGCGUACAUGUAUAUUAGAGUACCACGCACUGGACCCUGGACACACUCUGCUUUGAAGACUGAGACAUUCCAACCGUCGCACCAGUAGAAUUCUAAAGGAUGGCCACUCACCCUCAAAACGAGAACCCAAUCCAACAGCGAUGGACUGCAGAAAAAUACAUUAGUGGGGAACAUAUGGUUAUAGAUGAUCUGAAGAGGAUACACCGCAACCAGUACACUGAUAAAUAUGUGGCUGAACCAAAUGAAAUAACUGGGGGCUAUGCCGUAGUUCCACAUUACCCUCGACCUGUAGCGUUCCAUUGUUCAAGAGUAUCUCACGUCACGACUACAGAUGAUAUGAAAGAUGUUCUGAAGUGCAACGGGUUUAGAGGAGGGGAUUGGAGACUUGGCCUCUUGUGGUGGGGGACAGUGAUUGGUGAAAACGAGAUCACUACUGCAGAGGAGAGGUACCUGGAGGAACUCUUCCCUGAUCGGAGUCCAGAAGAGAGAGAGCGACAGGAGCCUUUCCUGCGUUAUUUCAGCACUUCUCCUGUGUUUAAGGAUUGGUCUCGCUAUGGAAACUUCCGGUUCACUUUCUCACUGGCUGAUGUUAUGAAAAAGUACAGCACACAGUUCUGUGGAGGAGCACACCCUGUCCUUAGAGUUUAUGAAACUGUAAUCUACAAGCAGCAGGUCAAGUACGCUGUGCUGAUUCAUAGCCCUAAUGUUCAUGAUUAUGAUGGUUACCCAGAGUUGGGGGAUACUGAUGAGGGUGUGUGUGCUUACAGGGAUGGAGAGAUCAUCUGGCGUGCUCAAGCCAUCUCUGAAACACACCGCUAUAGAAUGACUGAAAACAGAUAUGACAAACAAGUUACUGUAGAGGGUGGGUUUAGGGAAUUUUAUCUGUGGGAUCACGUGGCCCUGGCCUUUCACAUGCCAAAAUUUAAAAUUCUAAAAUUCUCUUUGGAGACGCUUCUCGAGGCUCUCACUGCGUGUGAUGAUGGAGACAUAAAACUGAACACUCUCAUUGGCAAAGCGAGAGCAGAAGAGAUCAUUCAGGAAAUGAAGGCAGAUGCAUAGCAUGAGCUUUAAAGUCAGGGCCCUAAUUUCAUUGGCAACGAGCAAAGUCCUACUUUAAUAUCAUUAAGCUAAUUUAAUACCAUGGGCAAACAUGGGGGGGUCAGCUCAACUCUCCCACACGCCACACGCUAACAUGGGGGGGUCAGCUCAACGCUCCCACACGCCUUAUCAUAGCUUCAGCUCAAGCGUGACGGACUUUGCUCGUUGCCCGUCAAUAAAAUUAGGGCCACUAGAGUAACUGCCA
rnacentral:lncRNA from 1 species